CCUACGGGAGACUGCAGUGAGGAAUAUUGGUCAAUGGGCGCUAGCCUGAACCAGCCAAGUAGCGUGAAGGAUGACUGCCCUAUGGGUUGUAAACUUCUUUUAUAUGGGAAUAAAGUGCAGUAUGUAUACUGCUUUGCAUGUACCUUAUGAAUAAGGAUCGGCUAACUCCGUGCCAGCAGCCGCGGUAAUACGGAGGAUCCGAGCGUUAUCCGGAUUUAUUGGGUUUAAAGGGAGCGUAGGCGGGUUGUUAAGUCAGUUGUGAAAGUUUGCGGCUCAACCGUAAAAUUGCAGUUGAUACUGGCAGCCUUGAGUACAGUAGAGGUAGGCGGAAUUCGUGGUGUAGCGGUGAAAUGCUUAGAUAUCACGAAGAACUCCGAUUGCGAAGGCAGCCUGCUGGACUGUAACUGACGCUGAUGCUCGAAAGUGUGGGUAUCAAACAGUAUUAGAUACCCGGGUAGUC
rnacentral:rRNA from 1 species